rnacentral:SRP_RNA from 1 species
GCCAGGCAUGGUGGUGCAUGCCUGUAAUUCCAGCUACUCAGGAGGCUGAGGCAGGAGAAUUGCUUGAACCCAGGAGGCAGCGGUUGCAGUGAGCUCAGAUCAUGCCACUGCACUCCAGCUUGGGUGACAGAGCGAGACUCUGUCUCAA